AUCUAUAAUGUUUUAAUUUCUUCCUUGGGAUAUCUUUUGUGCUCUUGGAAUAUUACAUUUGCAUGUGAAUGGAAAAAGCUAAAUUAUAUUCCUAGGUUCAAGCAAAGAAGCUAAUUUCUAACACUAUUGAUAGAGGAACUUCUUCAAUUUUAUUUCUAACAUCAUUGUAUCAGGCUAAAACUCUUAUUGCCAUCAGCGUGUUUGUCAGGUGAAGUUCUGAGAUCAUCUAAAUAUUUUAUGAGGUUCAUUGAACAGUGAAAAUAAUCUUGCUAAGACCUGUCUCACUAGUAGAUUAAUCAGUACUAUAGUUUCUCUUUUUUUUUGUUGUUGGAAGUUAUUAGUGUUCAAUUUAGUUUAUACUCAUCUUUCUGUUUACCUGUGAAAGCAGUGAAACUCUCUCUGCAGUUCCAUGUAGUUCUGUGUCCAGGGAUGGGCAAUGGAAUUGUGAGGGGUCUGGAGCACAAGUCUGAUGGGGAGUGUCUGAGGCAGCUGGGAUGGGUCAGUCUGGAACGGAGGAGGCUCAGGGGAGACCUCAUCGCUUUCCGCAUCUUCCUGAAAGGAGAUUGUGGCAAAGUGGGGGUCAGCCUCUGCUCUCUGUAACUACUGAUACUGAUAGGAUGAGGGGUAAUGGCCUCAAGUUUCUCUACAGGAGAUUCAGGUUGGAUAUUAGGAAGAAAUUUUGUCUCCAAAAGAGUGACACACUUGGUCAUGGUGGAAGGGUAUUUCCUCUCCAGUGGUGCAGGCUUGUCUCCAGCUCCCCAGGCCUGGGCCUGACUGUUGAAAGGAGAGCAGCAUAGCAACAUGGUUUCUUGUGAGGUAACAAAAUUGGUGAGAAGAUGAGGACUGACAUUUUGUUUUGGAAAGGCAUGAAAAUGUGUGGGUAUGAUGCAGCCAUAUGUGAGGGAAAGAAAUGGGACGUGAUAGAUCACUGCUGAGCCGUCUUCCCCCUGUUCUCACUGGUGCUCAGGAGCAGGAGCUGCACAAAAAAUUCAGUAUAAGUGGUGCUAUUUCUGGACACCGCCAUCUGCCAGGUUUUACUUGCAUUUCAAACAAACUUUCAGUUCAGCUUCAUCUUUCAUUUGGAGGCACAUCUGCUCGUGAAUGCUUGGUAAUCACUGGUGUGCAGCACACACCUGUACACAAAUAUAUAAAGGAAAUAGAAAGAAGGCACAAUAUAUUCCCAGCUUGUUAGCUAUUAAACAGGUUAGGCAGGAAAUGGGGACUCUGUUAUCUUUGCUUGUGCAGAUCUUUAUUUUAUAAACAACAUUUUCUCAAAGGAGUAAUAAAGAAC
rnacentral:lncRNA from 1 species